rnacentral:rRNA from 1 species
GUGGGGAAUAUUGGACAAUGGGCGCAAGCCUGAUCCAGCCAUGCCGCGUGCAGGAAGACGCAUCUAUGGUGUGUAAACUGCUUUUGUACGGGAAGAAACACUCCCUCGUGAGGGAGCUUGACGGUACCGUAAGAAUAAGGAUCGGCUAACUCCGUGCCAGCAGCCGCGGUAAUACGGAGGAUCCAAGCGUUAUCCGGAAUCAUUGGGUUUAAAGGGUCCGUAGGCGGUUUAAUAAGUCAGUGGUGAAAGCCCAUCGCUCAACGAUGGAACGGCCAUUGAUACUGUUAGACUUGAAUUACAAGGAAGUAACUAGAAUAUGUAGUGUAGCGGUGAAAUGCUUAGAUAUUACAUGGAAUACCAAUUGCGAAGGCAGGUUACUACUUGUGGAUUGACGCUGAUGGACGAAAGCGUGGGGAGUGAACAGGAUUAGAUACCCUAGUAGUCC